rnacentral:rRNA from 1 species
GUAAUGGCAGGUCAGCAUACUGCCGUGAAUACGUUCCCGGGCCUUGUACACACCGCCCGUCACACCAUGAGAGUUGGGGAUACCCGAAGCCUGUGAGCUAACAGUAAUGGAGCAGCAGUCGAAGGUAGAAUCAAUGAUUGGGGUGAAGUCGUAACAAGGUAAC